rnacentral:rRNA from 1 species
GGGUAGCAAACAGGAUUAGAUACCCUGGUAGUCCACGCUGUAAACGAUGAUCACUCGUUGUUGGCAAUACAUCGUCAGCGGCUGAGCGAAAGCAUUAAGUGAUCCACCUGGGGAGUACGUUCGCAAGAAUGAAACUCAAAGGAAUUGACGGGGGCCCGCACAAGCGGAGGAACAUGUGGUUUAAUUCGAUGAUACGCGAGGAACCUUACCUGGGCUUAAAUGCAGGACGACAUCUGCCGAAAGGUGGAUUUCUUCGGACGGACUGCAAGGUGCUGCAUGGUUGUCGUCAGCUCGUGCCGUGAGGUGUCGGGUUAAGUCCCAUAACGAGCGCAACCCUCAUCGUUAGUUGCCAGCGGGUAAUGCCGGGGACUCUAACGAAACUGCCGGUGUAAACCGUGAGGAAGGUGGGGAUGACGUCAAAUCAGCACGGCCCUUACGUCCAGGGCUACACACGUGUUACAAUGGCCAGUACAAAGGGCAGCUACCGGGCGACCGGAUGCUAAUCUCUAAAACUGGUCUCAGUUCGGAUUGAAGUCUGCAACUCGACUUCAUGAAGCUGGAUUCGCUAGUAAUCGCGCAUCAGCCACGGCGCGGUGAAUACGUUCCCGGGCCUUGUACACACCGCCCGUCAAGCCAUGGGAGCUGGGGGUACCUGAAGUCCGUAACCGAAAGGAGCGGCCUAGGGUAAAACUAGUGACUGGGGCUAAGUCGUAACAAGGUAACCGUA